rnacentral:rRNA from 1 species
CAGUAGCCACGGUAAUACAGAGGGUGCAAGCGUUACUCGGAAUUACUGGGCGUAAAGCGUGUGUAGGUGGUUGUUUAAGUCUGUCGUGAAAGCCCUGGGCUCAACCUGGGAAUUGCGAUGGAUACUGGGCGACUAGAGUGCGGUAGAGGAUAGUGGAAUUUCCGGUGUAGCAGUGAAAUGCGUAGAGAUCGGAAGGAACAUCUGUGGCGAAGGCGACUAUCUGGGCCAACACUGACACUGAGACACGAAAGCGUGGGGAGCAAACAGGAUUAGAUACCCCAGUAGUCCCUGUCUCUUAUAC